rfam:Ictidomys tridecemlineatus contig007762, whole genome shotgun sequence.
GGGGUUGUGGCUCAGUGGUAGAGCACUUGCCUAGCAUGCCUGAGGCACUGGGUUCGAUCCUCAGCAUCACAU